GAGGUAAGUUUAGCAGAACAUUCUGGAAAGUAUAACCAUAGAGGGUGAUAGUCCCGUAUGCGAAAAACAAACCUUAGCUAGCAGUAUCCUGAGUAGGGCGGGACACGAGGAAUCCUGUCUGAAUCCGGGUCGACCACGAUCCAACCCUAAAUACUAAUACCAGAUCGAUAGUGCACAAGUACCGUGAGGGAAAGGUGAAAAGAACUGAGGUGAUCAGAGUGAAAUAGAACCUGAAACCAUUUGCUUACAAUCAUUCAGAGCACUAUGUAGCAAUACAGUGUGAUGGACUGCCUUUUGCAUAAUGAGCCUGCGAGUUGUGGUGUCUGGCAAGGUUAAGCAAACGCGAAGCCGUAGCGAAAGCGAGUCUGAAUAGGGCGCUUAGUCAGAUGCUGCAGACCCGAAACGAAGUGAUCUAUCCAUGAGCAAGUUGAAGCUAGUGUAAGAACUAGUGGAGGACUGAACCCAUAGGCGUUGAAAAGCCCCGGGAUGACUUGUGGAUAGGGGUGAAAGGCCAAUCAAACUUCGUGAUAGCUGGUUCUCUCCGAAAUAUAUUUAGGUAUAGCGUUGUGUCGUAAUAUAAGGGGGUAGAGCACUGAAUGGGCUAGGGCAUACACCAAUGUACCAAACCCUAUCAAACUCCGAAUACCUUAUAUGUAAUCACAGCAGUCAGGCGGCGAGUGAUAAAAUCCGUCGUCAAGAGGGAAACAACCCAGACUACCAGCUAAGGUCCCUAAAUCUUACUUAAGUGGAAAACGAUGUGAAGUUACUUAAACAACCAGGAGGUUGGCUUAGAAGCAGCCAUCCUUUAAAGAAAGCGUAAUAGCUCACUGGUCUAGUGAUUUUGCGCGGAAAAUAUAACGGGGCUAAAGU
rnacentral:rRNA from 1 species